GCUACUAAACACUAGCGGAAAAAGAAACCACAGGUAAGUUAAACAGGUAACCUACUGAUGAAAAGUGGUGGAAAUGCGGGUGACUAUGCCUCGUCUCCUACCAGGUCCAACCCGAACUCUGCAGACUUUGCAUUUUAAAACGAAGGGCCCAGGGGAAACAUUUGAACACGUUAGAGUGAGUGGACAAAAAUAAAACAAAUGAAAUAAUUCUUUAUGCUUUCCCAAUUUUACUUUUGCAUAGAAAAAUAUGCUGCAUGCGACAGCUCAAAACACUCAACACGAAAACUGGAAAUUUCAUGACUAGCUCCGGCCAGUCUCCAACGCUCAAUAAAAUACAGCCUCUCAGGCUAAAAUAAAAUAUGUAUGUAUUACACUAGUCAUAUCCCUUGUAUGAAUUUUCUUGAAACAACAAAAACAAAUAGAAAAUUCACACAAGGCUACGACGCUUGCGUCUAACGCUCACGUCGCACCAUAAUGGCAUUUUACCUCAUUAUGGUGGAAAAGACGGUGUAUAAAUAUACGCGCAUAUCCCCUAUAUAAAUUAUUAUUUUAUAUAGGGCUACGACAAUUGCGUCUAACGCUCACGUCGCACCAUAAUGGAAUUUUACCUCAGUAUGGUGGAAAAGCACGUAUAGCUAGCUAGCAUUCUCUCAUAUACAUAUUAUUCUCAUAAUUAUCCACAUAUGGAUAUAUAUAUAUACUCACCGAAAUUCUCAAUUUCGGUUAUUCUCCAACAACAUAAAUUAUUUCGCAUGCACAUUAUUUAAAACAAAAGUCUAUUCACAAAUUAGGCCUAAGCCUGAUGUCGAUCUGGGGCCUCGUCAGCUCGAGCCUCCUCACGACCUGUUCCAAAUAUAAUAUUAAGUUCCUAGCCGAAAUUCCAAUAUUUACACAAAAUAGGCAGAAAUUAACCGAGAGCUAUUAACACGCUCAUCAUUGCCUAACUUCGAAAUGGUCCACAUUUCAACCCUAGAACCAGCAGCCGUAACUACACCUUCCCACAGUUUAAACAACUUUAAUCCAACGGCCGGAUUCUACAUAAAUUAACCGCCAAAAAUACUAACUUCGAAAAUUCACAAACCUAUCCAAAUCUCAUCUAAAAAUUCCAUAACUCACUUCAAUAAACUCCCCUUAAUAUUCCAAAUUUAACAACAUUAAAAUCUCCCAACCGGCGGCUCCGCCGGCAGCGGCGGCCGGAGGCCAAAUCCGGCGACCUCCAAUUCCUAUGAAAUUUUAACAGCAUCUUCCUCUCAUCAUGCUCUACAACUUUCCUAACUAGCACAAACCCAAAAUCCACGCCUAGCUAUGCCAAUCGAACAAAAACAUCAAAAACGCCCUAGAGCUUCCACCUCAAAUUUCUCCUUACCUGAAGCAAACCGGAGUGAGUCUUUUUAGGGCAAGGCAGCUGGGUUGGAGACCUACAAAACCAUACCAAACUUGCUCGGAUUGGUGGCCGGAGGAGGGAGUUCUGGCGAAAAGCUUCCGGCGUUUCCGGCGGGUUUUCUCCUCUUCCGGCGG
rnacentral:lncRNA from 1 species